ACCAAAAUCCAGUGAAGAAACACCACCCGUCCAGUGCCACCAAAGUAGUUCUCUGUCAUGUGUGUUCCCUGCCUGCACAAACCUACAUGUACAUAUCACGGAUUAGAGACUCUUGCAGGACUGAAAGGCUGCUCUGGUGAGGUGACCUCUGUUUAAACCAGCCCCACAUGAAGAGAACAUCCCUUGAGACGAAUUGGGAGGCUGGGAUUAGAGCCUUUGGAGGUCAAAGCAAAUUAAGAAUUUUAAUUAAGAAUAAAAGAGUGCUUUAAUCGAGACAGAGGUAUCUUGUGCCCCUCGCCAAGAAGCAGGAGUGUUGCAUGUGGGACCAUGUGCUUCUACGUGGUGUUUGACUCAGUACAAAGUCUAGUCCCAAAGAAGGAGCCAAAGUGCAAAUGUGGGUGUCAGCUGUGCCAUUAAACUCAUCAUCUCAACCCAGAGUGUCUGGUCCCCUGCUCUUUCAGCAUGGUCAUGUCCCUCCUCCUAAGCUUUGGUUCUUUAGGGCGACCGUGGUAAGAAAGAUACUUAAUCAUGACACACACAGACACACACAUAUUUAACUGAAACAGAAGUUUCACCAAACAAUAUUUAUGCAUGUGGUGCAUUCUGGUAUUUUCAAGUCCAUUCAAUUGUGUUCUGCUUCACCUAAAAAAAAAAAAAAAUGCCGAUCAAGAGAAAAAAAAAAGGCAGUUUGGGGACCUCGAACUGUCUCUUGCUUCAACAGUGUUUGGAUGGAACAGAUCCAAGGGACUCUUUCUUCCAGCCUCUGAUCACCCUCUGAUUUCCUCUCCACUUGCAACAUCCAGGACCAUUUUCUCGGCCAUUUCCUGCUUCUAGGACCUGCCAACACCGUUUUUGUGGUUAGCUCCUUCUUGCCGACCAUGAGCUCCCAGAUUCGUCAGAAUUAUUCCACCGAUGUGGAGGCAGCCGUCACCCGCCUGGUCCAUGUGUACCUGCAGACCUCCUCCACCUGCCUCUCUCUGGGCUUCCAUUUCCUCCACGAUGAUGUGGCUCUGGAAGGUGUGAGCCACUUCUUCCGCGAAUUGGCCGAGGAGAAGCGCGAGGGCUACAAGCGUCUCCUGAAGAUGCAAAAUAGCGUGGAGGCCACGCUGUCUUCCAGGAUAUCAAGAAGCUGGCUCGAGAUGAAUGGGGUAAAACCCUGGAUGCCAUGGAAGCUGCCACGGCCCUGGAGAAAAAUCUGAACAAGGCCCUUUUGGAUCUUCAUGCCCUGGGGUCUGCCCACACGGACCCCCAUCUCUGUGACUUCCUGGAGAGUCAAUUCCUAGAUGAGGAAGUGAAAUUCAUCAACAAGUUGGGUGACCACUUGACCAACCUCUCCACAGGCUGGCCAGCCCGGAGGCGAGGCUGGGCUGGGUGAAUAUCUCUUGGAAGGGCUCACUCUCAAGCAUGACUAG